rnacentral:rRNA from 1 species
CAGUCGCCGCGGGAAUACGUAGGGUGCAAGCGUUAAUCGGAAUUACUGGGCGUAAAGCGUGCGUAGGCGGUGAGUUAAGUCUGCUGUGAAAUCCCCGGGCUCAACCUGGGAAUGGCAGUGGAUACUGGCUCGCUAGAGUGUGUCAGAGGAUGGUGGAAUUCCCGGUGUAGCGGUGAAAUGCGUAGAGAUCGGGAGGAACAUCAGUGGCGAAGGCGGCCAUCUGGGACAACACUGACGCUGAGGCACGAAAGCGUGGGGAGCAAACAGGAUUAGAUACCCCAGUAGUCCCUGUCUCUUAUAC